AGUCGAGGGGUAACAUUGUGCUUGCACAGAUGACGACCGGCGCACGGGUGCGUAACGCGUAUAGAACCUACCUUUUACAGAGGAAUAGCCUUUAGAAAUGAAGAUUAAUGCCUCAUAGUAUUGUAGACUGGCAUCAGUUUAUAAUUAAAGAUUUAUCGGUAAAAGAUGGCUAUGCGUCCUAUUAGUUAGUUGGUAAGGUAACGGCUUACCAAGACAGCGAUAGGUAGGGGUCCUGAGAGGGAGAUCCCCCACACUGGUACUGAGACACGGACCAGACUCCUACGGGAGGCAGCAGUGAGGAAUAUUGGACAAUGGAGGAGACUCUGAUCCAGCCAUGCCGCGUGUAGGAAGAAUGCCCUAUGGGUUGUAAACUACUUUUAUACAGGAAGAAACACUGGUAUGUAUACCAGC
rnacentral:rRNA from 1 species